rnacentral:rRNA from 1 species
UUGCUGGGUUUGAUGGCGACCGGCGCACGGGUGAGUAACGCGUAUCCAACCUGCCCUUUACUCCGGGAUAGUCUCCUGAAAGGGAGUUUAAUACCGGAUGUGUUUGUCUUUCCGCAUGGGAGCGACAAAUAAAGAUUAAUUGGUAAAGGAUGGGGAUGCGUCCCAUUAGCUUGUUGGCGGGGUAACGGCCCACCAAGGCGACGAUGGGUAGGGGUUCUGAGAGGAAGGUCCCCCACAUUGGAACUGAGACACGGUCCAAACUCCUACGGGAGGCAGCAGUGAGGAAUAUUGGUCAAUGGGCGGGAGCCUGAACCAGCCAAGUAGCGUGAAGGACGACGGCCCUACGGGUUGUAAACUUCUUUUAUAAGGGAAUAAAGUUCGCCACGUGUGGUGUUUUGUAUGUACCUUAUGAAUAAGCAUCGGCUAAUUCCGUGCCAGCAGCCGCGGUAAUACGGAAGAUGCGAGCGUUAUCCGGAUUUAUUGGGUUUAAAGGGAGCGUAGGCGGGCUUUUAAGUCAGCGGUCAAAUGUCGUGGCUCAACCAUGUCAAGCCGUUGAAACUGUAAGCCUUGAGUCUGCACAGGGCACAUGGAAUUCGUGGUGUAGCGGUGAAAUGCUUAGGUAUCACGAAGAACUCCGAUCGCGAAGGCAUUGUGCCGGGGCAUAACUGACGCUGAGGCUCGAAAGUGCGGGUAUCAAACAGG